AGUGAACGCUGGCGGUAGGCCUAACACAUGCAAGUCGAACGGCAGCACAGUAAGAGCUUGCUCUUACGGGUGGCGAGUGGCGGACGGGUGAGGAAUACAUCGGAAUCUACUUUUUCGUGGGGGAUAACGUAGGGAAACUUACGCUAAUACCGCAUACGACCUACGGGUGAAAGCAGGGGAUCUUCGGACCUUGCGCGAUUGAAUGAGCCGAUGUCGGAUUAGCUAGUUGGCGGGGUAAAGGCCCACCAAGGCGACGAUCCGUAGCUGGUCUGAGAGGAUGAUCGGCCGCACUGGAACGGAGACACGGUCCAGACUCCUACGGGAGGCAGCAGUGGGGAAUGUUGGGCAAUGGGCGCAAGCCUGAUCCAGCCAUACCGCGUGGGUGAAGAAGGCCUUCGGGUUGUAAAGCCCUUUUGUUGGGAAAGAAAAGCAGCAGGUUAAUACCCCGCUGUUCUGACGGUACCCAAAGAAUAAGCACCGGCUAACUUCGUG
rnacentral:rRNA from 1 species